UUGUCAAUUUACCGACCUUUAUGGCCCCUUUUAGUUCCAAAUAGUGAAGUAUAUGUCGCUAGUUACUGUUUUCAUUAUAAUAUGACAUAUACUUCUAUGUUUUAUAUAGUUCAUAACGAAUUAGUCGUGUAAACAUCAUUCACGUGUUGCUUGGUUUUGUCGCUUAUAUGAAGCCUUGGAUUGACGAAAGCAGUGAUGAGGAUCAAAUUGAGGAAGAUGUUCACGAGGACUAGCCUAACAUAGCAUGCAGAAGGCAUUCGAGGUCGAACGCAGAAAAUCAGAAUGGCCGAAUUUGAUUUUUGGCGAAGGUAUACCUGGUACCGUUUUGGGUGAUUUUUUCAGGGCUGCCUCUUCACGACACCAUAUCUCCGACAUUUUGCGCAAUUUUUUAAUAAAAAAAAAUUAUGAAGUUUCUUCAAAAUGUAUAUUUUUAACUAAAAAAAACCACAAUUCGGUAACUCCAACAGUUUCAAAAAAAAAAAAUUCCAGGAAAUUGCCAUUUUUUGGCCUCCUAGAUGUAUAUGCCCCCUUAAAGGAUAUUUUUUUUGCAUUGUAUAAAUUGUAACACUAUAAAAAUGAAAUGUAUAGCUAUCAGAUUAUACAUCAGGAUAAAGUAAUCCUGAAAAAGUACACUUUUUUCGCGUCCCAAAAAAUAAUGAUAAAGCUAAAGAAUGGCAAAAAGUAUCGCAAAGGAACGAUAUAAUUUUAAAUUCUUCACAUUGUUUUUGUGAGAAACAUUUCGAAGAACACGAUAUUGUGUGGAAAAGAUAAGGAUGGUACAAUUAUUCAAAACAUUUCAUUAAAAAGGCCUUAUAUUAAGGACAAUGCGGUAUCCUCAUUAUUUCCUUGGAUGGAAUUUAUAAAUAAUGAUAGUUGGAUAAGAAAUAAUGACAAAAAUAAUUAUAUCAAUAAUAAUAAUGAUAAAAAAGAAAGUGUAUCUUUUAUGAUGGAAUCUGAAAAUAGUAUAAUAGAAAAUACAGGAAGUACGUUAUUAAAUAAUAAUAUGAAAGGGAAAGAAAGCUCAGAUAUUCUAACAUUUAACGAGUUGAAGAAAGGGCGAAUUAAAAACUUGGUUUACACAUGUCACUGACUCAUCAAGAAAAGUUUUUAUAUUCUCUAACACACCACAUCUUAUAAAAACUAUACGAAACUGAUUAUACGAUAAGAAUCUAAAAAUGAAACCAAAAGGACCUUUAAUUUCUUGGAAACAUUUUGAAAAAUUAUAUGAAAUUGUUCGUGGUAUCCCAAUUCCCAUUUGUCCCAAAAUAACAAAACAUCAUUUAUAUCUUAAAAAUUAAUAAAAAAUGCGAGUUCGUUUAGCUGUGCAGGUAAUAUCAGUGUUUUGUAUAAGGAUAAUAAAAAAUUCUAUUUUGAAUAAUUCUACUUCCAGUACAACAUUUGUUAUUUCAGAUUUUUAGCAAUUCCAUUGCAAAAGGAUUGCGUUUUUACAGUCUACAUCAUCCUGAAUAGCAAGAAAGUACAGCCACUGCAGAGUUCUGUGAAUGGAUGAAUUGUUUGUUUGAUGCUUUAAAUAAAAGAGAUUAUCAAAGCGGAUUAAAAGUAGGAAGUAAAGAUUAUUUGGUACAAUUUUUCAAAAA